GACAUCGCCCGGCUACGUGCAGGCGUCGCAAUCGCAGUCCAAAACGGCGGCAGUCCAUCAACGAGACGCAUCCAAAUGCGUGGGAAAUGUGCGCCGGCCUUGCUUUGAAGUCGGGCCUGUUGCGGAGUCGGUUGGAAAGGCUAUUUGCGGAAUUUCAAAGGCAAAAACUGUGCAUACUCAUCGCUCACACACACACACACACACACACUUACAGCUACGCACACAUAGCAACAAUACAAACACCCGCCUUGUACAUAAAUUGCAUGCAUUUUUUUGCUAGUGAAAGCUGCUUAAUGUGUGCACACACUGGCCGGCAUUACAACUACUGUGACCCUGUCUAGCGUAAUUUGCCGGAAUUACACGCACACGCACGCACGCACACAAAGAGCCGACUCAAAUUGGCAUGUAACUGUCGCAAAGCGUGCACACACUGGCAACAAUGUGACCCCCUGCUGAGCGCAAUCAUGAAAACCAAAACAAAGCGCGCUGCGCUGCGCAUUGUGUGAUUAAAUUUGCAAAUAAGGCUAAAGAAGCAUAAUUGUCACAUAAUAGACGCAAAACUUGGCUUGCACUUGCACGUUAAUUGGCCUAAAAAAAAAAAAAAAAAAACAAAACAAAAACACAAAAUAAAUAUAAAAAAAAUGAAUCAUCGGCAACAACAAUUGGCGCGUUUCGUAGGCGACUCGCAACGAUUUGGACUUCCUUUUUUGUGGGGCGGCCGCCACAUGAUUGUCGCCAUUGAGACGGCACGACAACUGCAACUGCAACUGCAACGUGACGCAUGAGCAGUGGCAGCAAUAACAAGUAAGCUGUUGGGAGUGCCCGACUGGCAGAUACCCAGCAACCAUUGCCGAGCUUCUGCCUCGCUUAGCCUCACACUACCUCGGUGCUUAUGGUCCGAUCUUUAUGAAGUUUUCGAGGCAUACCAAUUAUCAUCAUAAUAAGAAAUCAACCGAGAGAGAAGCAGAAAUAGGCGGACUUGAUAAACAUACUUAAAGGAGUCGGAGACGCCGCCCUCUGCUCAUAACAUGCACAUGCAAAAACGCAUUGGACCCCUUUUAAAAGAAGCAAUUGGUAGCAGCAGCAAAUGCUCUUUAACCUUUGCCCACCCUAGCACCCGGCCCUCGGCCUGCGCAGCCCAUGUGGUUUCUAUUUUGGACUUGCGACAAAUAUAGAGAGCGCAAUCCCUAAGACGAAUGACCGUUAAUGGAGACAUUUGUGUGCGUCUAGGGGUUGGGGGGUUAAAAGUAUUUAUAAACAUGCAUGUGCAUAUGCAUAGAUAUUGACAACUUGCCUGAAACGAUCUUGAUCUUAGCUGUGGCACAUGCCGCAAAACGCGGCCAGUUCAAUAACAAUGGCCAGCGCUGAACAAAGGCGAAUUUUCAAUUGUGGCGCGCACAGUGGCGGCCACUUACAAGAACUUUAACACGCCAGAGUUCAAAUUAGUCAGCAACACUCCAUAAAUCAGACAACGGAAAACAAUCAUAAAGUAACCGACCUGGCACCGGGCCACCAGGCCACCGAGCUCAGUGCCUUGCCAUGCACAGAUCUGGCGCUCUCUGGACACACGGCCAGCUGCGCCGCAACAACUGCCAACUGGCCAAUCGAGUUGGGCCGCCCGCUGCUCUGGGUCGAGCGAUUAGCAUACAAUUUGCGAGGCAAGUUGUUUUUGUUGCUGUUGUUGUUAUUGUUGCAUUGACAGCAAUAAAUAAUAAAAUUGCAUUGCAAUGCACUUUGCCAGGCGGAUUAAUCGCUGAGCUGAACAAACUGCACCAAAGGAUGGGUGAGCUAACAAAAGGAAUGCAUAAACUAAGUAUCAAGUAUCAGGUAUCAGCUAGAUUAAAUCAAUAUAUCAAACUAAUCAGUUACUUUCCUCUAGGUUCAUAAGCAAUGGCAAUGCAAUGCACUUUGUCAGUCGAAUAAAUCGCAAAGCUAAAUAAACUGCAGCAAUAGUUAACAGAAGGAAUGUAUAAAGUGUGUCUACAAUCAGCUUGAUUGGAAUAAUAUAUUAAGCUAAUCGGUUUCUUAUGUAUUCCGGGUAUUACAUAGUGCGCUACAAAACGAAGCAGAGAUGUGUUUGCAAAGCACUUUGCCAGGCGGAUAAAACGCAAAACUAAACAAACUGCUAACUGUAUUCAUGGUGGGGAAACUAAGGUGACUAAGAAAUUGUCGAGCAUUAAUUAAUUUAAUAACACAUACACAAGGAUGCUUUUACCCUAUUUUCAGUGUAUUCAAAAGCUUGUGUACUCGCCUGGGCAAGCAUAUUUAUAGGGUGGCAUAGCCAUAAAAAAUAACUGGCGUCUGUUGUUAUUGUUGUUGUUGCUGUUGCUGCUGCGGCACAGUGUCGUACAAAUUGCACCGUUAAUAAAGUCAAAAUCGGAUUAGGCACGCCUCGGCCGACGCCUGCUUCCCUGCCCGUUGCCCCUAGCUGACCAACGGACCCAAAUGGAGCUCAGCUGCAGGCCCGUGGCCAAGUGGCCAACAGUUGGUCAACUGGACACACACUUGCAGAUUGGAGCCCACAGAUGCAGAUAGAUAUUUGAUCUCUUGGCCGAAAAUGCCAAACAAUAAAUUGGCACUAAUGAAUUUGAUUCAUUUCGAUUUGCUUUUGGCAAUAACUAAAUCAACAUUGCGGGCUGACAGUUGUCAUAAGGCAAGACUGACCCAUAUGUGUCCGACGGUAGGAAAAGGAGUGCCAGCAGUGAAAAAAUUAUGAACAUAACUAAGCGCAUAUCUUGAUAGAUUUAACAAAACUGCGAAUUGUAGUUACAAGCUGAUCGCAAGAUAUAUCAAAUUGAAUAAAUCAACAUUCGGAAUGUACAAGUCAACAAACAUUCAGCUAAACAUGUCCUUCAAAUUCCUAGCUUGGCAAGCAAAUAGCAUAAUAUAAAUAUGACAUAAUUUAUGGGCUACAUAUUAUUAUAUGUCAUUUUAAAAGUUGUUUUAGUAAAUUAUUUAAGCUAUGGUACUGAGAAAUACAAAUAAGCGUCGACUUCA